UAAAUGAUUAGUUCACUUGCUGGUACCUUGCUUGCAUCUACAUUGAUAUUUUUCCGGGCUCUUGUUUAAUUUGUCUAGGACGCCAUUAUUGCACAACGGUUUUUGAACGGGGAUUGCAGUAAAGUUGCGGUGUUAUGCCGUUUGACAUUUUACGUAAUUGCGCCAAGGCGACCCCACUUUAUCUAUAUCCACGUCCACUUUCGCUUUCACCUGAGCCGGGCUUUUAUCAAAAAUGCUUGAGCGCAUCUUCAACUUGCCGAAGGCACAAGCUUCGAUGUACAUGAUGCUGACACAGCACUGAGCUAACCAGUUUUUAACAAUUUGAAAUUUACCGAAAGUCCAGUCAAAUAAUGUAAUUUAACAUUUUCCUACUAAACAUUUUGUAGCCUUUCGAGUACAUUGGUUAAGUUUAAUUUAUUUGGCCAGUGUUCCCAUAAACUUUCUGUUGUUUUGGCAGGAUGGUCAACGCGUUAUUGAACUUCAACAACCUCUUUGGGUUGCACAACCACCAGCUGUGAAAGAGACUUCCGUUGACCUCCUCUUAUGCAAGAUGCCAUCGAUGAUCGCGCUUGUUUUAGCCGUUUUUGCGAAUGGUUUUCAGAUUUAACCAAAUUUAAAUGAACUAUGUUCAUGUUCAUGUUACGAUUGAUCAAUCUGCAUUUCCUUCCUAUCAAGGACGUCGAUUUUUCUAACUGAUUAAACAUGCUUAGAAAGCGGCCUAGCGAGCUUGGAAAAAUGGGUCAGGUUUAAUGUGCUUACAGUUAAAUAACUGGUAGAAAGAAAACGGGUUUGCAUGGCCUAUUUCAUGCAUACUUGGACAGGCCUUUCUGGAACAAAAAAACAGAGAAACCUGCGCAAGAGUGGCCUUCCCGACUCAUGACUGUUCAAACAAUUUGGAAUCUGCAUCUCUAAACGUCUUUAGAGACUGUCUUGCCUCACAAGGAUAUGACCUAAUACAAUUAUUUUUUAAUGUUCUUUUUAUAUAAUAAAAAGCGAUUUAGUAAUUUCUUCGUAUUAUGCAUAUUGCCUUAAACUACAGGAAACCAGUUUGAAAACUAGAGAAUAAGUCUUUCAACUACAAUUUAACGAAACAAGUUUGACGGCAUAGCAAUGCAACUUGAAAAAAAGAAAGAAGUUGAACUACCUCAAUAUAUUGGUUCCAUUGAUUUUAUUAAUUGAAGAAGAUAUUUUUAAGAAAUAAACUAAGCAAAAUGUA